CCGUAUCUCCUGAGUUAUCCCUACACUUACGGAGACGCUCGCUACUACCUCGACGAGCAGCACGUGCCGGUGGUGACGUGGAUGAUCAACCUGUCUUGGCGGUUGGCUUUGGGAGGUGUUGAGAUCUGCAGGGAGGCCCACGAUCUUAGCGCUGAUGGCCCCACGGCGAGAUCACGGCGUGUGAAGUGGCGCUAAAGGUGGAAGAUGCCUGGAAGGAGUCUGGGUCAGAAGCCUUACUAGCUUCUGAGUUUCGUUCAAUAAACUUGCAUCGU